rnacentral:rRNA from 1 species
UACAGAGGUCUCAAGCGUUGUUCGGAUUCAUUGGGCGUAAAGGGUGCGUAGGCGGCGCGGUAAGUCGGGUGUGAAAUUUCGAGGCUUAACCUCGAAACUGCAUUCGAUACUGCGGUGCUUGAGGACUGGAGAGGAGACUGGAAUUCAUGGUGUAGCAGUGAAAUGCGUAGAGAUCAUGAGGAAGACCAGUGGCGAAGGCGGGUCUCUGGACAGUUCCUGACACUGAGGCACGAAGGCCAGGGGAGCAAACGGG